CGCCGAGUUUUCCAUUCCUUCUGGAUCGCGGCUGCCAAGCCAGGAGUGGUGUUUAUGGCGAGAUGAUGUCUCAACUUCACGUUCCUGCUGCAAUGUACCUGGAUCCCUUCCAGACCUGGUGAGCCCUCUGCAAAUGCGCACUCGCCGUUUGAGGGCGGCCUCCACGCGACGCAGCUCAGAGGCACAAAGAGAUACAGAUGUGGAAUGAAGAGCCCCCACCUCAGCUGCUCCAAGUACUUACAAGGAUCCGCAGGGGGCGCGUGACACAGAGGGUCACGGAAACGCUACCGAAG